UACGAAGGGGGCUAGCGUUGUUCGGAAUUACUGGGCGUAAAGCGCCCGUAGGCGGAUUGUUAAGUCAGAGGUGAAAUCCCGGAGCUCAACUUCGGAACUGCCUUUGAUACUGGCAAUCUAGAGUCCGGAAGAGGUUAGUGGAAUUCCCAGUGUAGAGGUGAAAUUCGUAGAUAUUGGGAAGAACACCGGUGGCGAAGGCGGGUCUCUGGGCCGAUACUGACGCUGAGGCGCGACAGCGUGGGGAGCAAACAGG
rnacentral:rRNA from 1 species